AUUGAACGCUGGCGGCAGGCCUAACACAUGCAAGUCGAGCGGAUGAAGGGAGCUUGCUCCUGGAUUCAGCGGCGGACGGGUGAGUAAUGCCUAGGAAUCUGCCUGGUAGUGGGGGAUAACGUCCGGAAACGGGCGCUAAUACCGCAUACGUCCUGAGGGAGAAAGUGGGGGAUCUUCGGACCUCACGCUAUCAGAUGAGCCUAGGUCGGAUUAGCUAGUUGGUGGGGUAAAGGCCUACCAAGGCGACGAUCCGUAACUGGUCUGAGAGGAUGAUCAGUCACACUGGAACUGAGACACGGUCCAGAGUCCUACGGGAGGCAGCAGUGGGGAAUAUUGGACAAUGGGCGAAAGCCUGAUCCAGCCAUGCCGCGUGUGUGAGGAAGGUCUUCGGAUUGUAAAGCACUUUAAGUUGGGAGGAGGGGCAGUAAGUUAAUACCUUGCUGUUUUGACGUUACCAACAGAAUAAGCACCGGCUAACUUCGUG
rnacentral:rRNA from 1 species